rnacentral:tRNA from 1 species
CGCGGGGUGGAGCAGCUGGUAGCUCGUCGGGCUCAUAACCCGGAGGUCGCUGGUUCAAAUCCAGCCCCCGCCACCA